rnacentral:rRNA from 1 species
AAUCGAACCUGGAGAUAGCUGGUUCUCUCCGAAAUAGCUUUAGGGCUAGCCUCAAGUGAUGAUUAUUGGAGGUAGAGCACUGUUUGGACGAGGGGCCCCUCUCGGGUUACCGAAUUCAGACAAACUCCGAAUGCCAAUUAAUUUAACUUGGGAGUCAGAACAUGGGUGAUAAGGUCCGUGUUCGAAAGGGAAACAGCCCAGACCACCAGCUAAGGUCCCAAAAUAUAUGUUAAGUGGAAAAGGAUGUGGCGUUGCCCAGACAACUAGGAUGUUGGCUUAGAAGCAGCCAUCAUUUAAAGAGUGCGUAAUAGCUCACUAGUCGAGUGACACUGCGCCGAAAAUGUACCGGGGCUAAACAUAUUACCGAAGCUGUGGAUUGUCCUUUGGACAAUGGUAGGAGAGCGUUCUAAGGGCGUUGAAGCAUGAUCGUAAGGACAUGUGGAGCGCUUAGAAGUGAGAAUGCCGGUGUGAGUAGCGAAAGACGGGUGAGAAUCCCGUCCACCGAUUGACUAAGGUUUCCAGAGGAAGGCUCGUCCGCUCUGGGUUAGUCGGGUCCUAAGCUGAGGCCGACAGGCGUAGGCGAUGGAUAACAGGUUGAUAUUCCUGUACCACCUAUAAUCGUUUUAAUCGAUGGGGGGACGCAGUAGGAUAGGCGAAGCGUGCGAUUGGAUUGCACGUCUAAGCAGUAAGGCUGAGUAUUAGG